AACGAACGCUGGCGGCAUGCCUAACACAUGCAAGUCGAACGAGACCUUCGGGUCUAGUGGCGCACGGGUGCGUAACGCGUGGGAACCUGCCCUUAGGUUCGGAAUAACUCCCCGAAAGGGGUGCUAAUACCGGAUAAUGUCUUCGGACCAAAGAUUUAUCGCCUUUGGAUGGGCCCGCGUUGGAUUAGCUAGUUGGUAGGGUAAAAGCCUACCAAGGCGACGAGCCAUAGCUGGUCUGAGAGGAUGAUCAGCCACACUGGGACUGAGACACGGCCCAGACUCCUACGGGAGGCAGCAGUGGGGAAUAUUGGACAAUGGGCGAAAGCCUGAUCCAGCAAUGCCGCGUGAGUGAUGAAGGCCUUAGGGUUGUAAAGCUCUUUUACCCGGGAUGAUAAUGACAGUACCGGGAGAAUAAGCUCCGGCUAACUCCGUG
rnacentral:rRNA from 1 species